CGACGACGUUGAUAGGCCGGGUGUGUAAGCGCAGCGAUGCGUUGAGCUAACCGGUACUAAUGAACCGUGAGGCUUAACCUUACAACGCCGAAGGGGUUUUG
rnacentral:rRNA from 1 species